GCCUUCGUGGUAUAGUGGUCAGCACACUAGACAUGUAACCAAGAGGUCCGUUGUUCGAUUCCCGGCGAAGGCG
rfam:Stegodyphus mimosarum contig87996, whole genome shotgun sequence.